GCUGGCGGCGUGCCUAAUACAUGCAAGUCGAGCGAACAGAUAAGGAGCUUGCUCCUUUGACGUUAGCGGCGGACGGGUGAGUAACACGUGGGUAACCUACCUAUAAGACUGGAAUAACUCCGGGAAACCGGGGCUAAUGCCGGAUAACAUUUAGAACCGCAUGGUUCUAAAGUGAAAGAUGGUUUUGCUAUCACUUAUAGAUGGACCCGCGCCGUAUUAGCUAGUUGGUAAGGUAACGGCUUACCAAGGCAACGAUACGUAGCCGACCUGAGAGGGUGAUCGGCCACACUGGAACUGAGACACGGUCCAGACUCCUACGGGAGGCAGCAGUAGGGAAUCUUCCGCAAUGGGCGAAAGCCUGACGGAGCAACGCCGCGUGAGUGAUGAAGGUCUUCGGAUCGUAAAACUCUGUUAUUAGGGAAGAACAAAUGUGUAAGUAACUGUGCACGUCUGACG
rnacentral:rRNA from 2 species